rnacentral:rRNA from 1 species
GGAGUUAGCCGGUGCUUCUUCUGUGAGUGAUGUCCUUCCUGCCGGUUAUUGACCCGCAGGCCUUCUUCCUCACUGAAAGUGCUUUACAACCCGAAGGCCUUCUUCACACACGCGGCAUGGCUGGAUCAGGGUUGCCCCCAUUGUCCAAUAUUCCCCACUGCUGCCUCCCGUAGGAGUCUGGGCCGUGUCUCAGUCCCAGUGUGGCUGAUCAUCCUCUCAGACCAGCUACGGAUCGUCGCCUUGGUGAGCCGUUACCUCACCAACCAGCUAAUCCGACAUAGGCUCAUCCGAUAGCGCGAGGCCCGAAGGUCCCCCGCUUUCCCCCGUAGGGCGUAUGCGGUAUUAGCCUGGGUUUCCCCAGGUUAUCCCCCACUACCGGGCAGAUUCCUAUGCAUUACUCACCCGUCCGCCGCUCGCCACCAGGGAGCAAGCUCCCCGUGCUGCCGCUCGACUUGCAUGUGUUAGGCCUGCAGCCAGCGUUCAAUCUGAGCCAGGAUCAAACUCUGA